GACGUAGGGAGCGAGCGUUGUCCGGAUUUACUGGGCGUAAAGAGCACGUAGGCGGUCUGUUAAGUGAGAAGUGAAAUCUCCAGCGCUCAACGCGGAAACGGCUUUUCAUACUGGCAGACUUGAGGGAUGCAGAGGCAAGUAGAAUUCCUGGUGUACCGGUGACAUGGGUUGAUAUCAGGAGGAAUACCAAUGGCGAAGGCAGCUUGCUGGGCAUCAUCUGACGCUGAGGUGCGAAAGCGUGGGUAGCAAACAGG
rnacentral:rRNA from 1 species